rnacentral:lncRNA from 1 species
GAGUGAAGAAGAUGGGUCGAGCCCGGCCUUGAGGGUUGGAUGAGCCAGGCUUGUUAUGUACAUCAGGUGUGUGGGCCUCUACGUCAUGGGCCUUGGGCUGUGGUCAAGCCCCUAGCCCGGGGUGAAGGAAUCCAGCGGUCAUCAAUUGCCCCUUCACCUUCUCGGCAGUUAUUGCUCCAACUGCCGAGGGGGUGAAUACCAAGAACUAUUAUGAUCGCGUCAGUUCGGGUUCAGGUGCCUUAAUAACAUCCUUUCAUCUUUCAGUCGUUGCGCAGUUUCUGAAUUCUAUCUGCUCUUUUCUCUUUCUGUCUUUUUUCUAUUCUUCUUGUCCUCUGCCGCCUUUGCUUUUUUUUGUCAUCAUUAUCUGGACAUCUCCUUUCUUUCCUUUCCCGUGAAUAUCUUUUAAGAAUCUGACAUCACUGGCUUAGAGUCUAGUGUAGCUCUGCCCCGUGCUAAGUCCUCAGGCUCCGAGUAUAUAUCAGCGCCAGCUUUUCUUCAUUCUUGAGCCUUCUGUUGAAAUGAGAAAUUCUUGUUUUAUCUGUGGCAGAUCUAUUCGACGCCUUCUUCAAACAGAUUGCCUUGUGCCCCAGAGGUUUGCUUUGAUUUUGCUCUUAUCAUCUUAAGGGAGAAUUGUUUCUGACUUGUCUCUGUUUUGAAACUUUUUGCAGUUCCUGAAAUAAAAAUGGGUCAGUUCAAAAUUCUUGAAAAUUUGAUGUUACCUCUAAGGCGUCUGGAUGGUGCAUUGAAGAUCCUUCUGGUAUGGCAGUCGAAGGGUGGGACCAUUCGGCAAGCUGCUAAAACUGCUUUACCUAGGUCGUCUGGCCGGCCUCCUCCUCUGCUUGUUGUCCGGGCUCCAAAGAAGUUC